rnacentral:rRNA from 1 species
UCUAGCGACCUCCACCCCUGACCAUCUAGCGACCUCCACAUCCUCCUGACCAUCUAGCGACCUCCACAACAUCUUAGUACCCGGAGGAAGAGAAAGAAAAAUCGAUUCCCUGAGUAGCGGCGAGCGAAACGGGAAGAGCCCAAACCAACAAGCUUGCUUGUUGGGGUUGUAGGACACUCUAUACGGAGUUACAAAAGAACAUGUUAGACGAAUCAUCUGGAAAGAUGAAUCAAAGAAGGUAAUAAUCCUGUAGUCGAAAACAUAUUCUCUCUUGAGUGGAUCCUGAGUACGACGGAGCACGUGAAAUUCCGUCGGAAUCUGGGAGGACCAUCUCCUAAGGCUAAAUACUCUCUAGUGACCGAUAGUGAACCAGUACCGUGAGGGAAAGGUGAAAAGUACCCCGGAAGGGGAGUGAAAGAGAACUUGAAACCGUGUGCUUACAAGUAGUCAGAGCCCGUUAAUGGGUGAUGGCGUGCCUUUUGUAGAAUGAACCGGCGAGUUACGAUCUGAUGCAAGGUUAAGCAGCAAAUGUGGAGCCGCAGCGAAAGCGAGUCUGAAUAGGGCGUUGAGUAUUUGGUCGUAGACCCGAAACCAGGUGAUCUACCCUUGGUCAGGUUGAAGUUCAGGUAACACUGAAUGGAGGACCGAACCGACUUACGUUGAAAAGUGAGCGGAUGAACUGAGGGUAGCGGAGAAAUUCCAAUCGAACUUGGAGAUAGCUGGUUCUCUCCGAAAUAGCUUUAGGGCUAGCCUCAAGUGAUGAUUAUUGGAGGUAGAGCACUGUUUGGACGAGGGGCCCCUCUCGGGUUACCGAAUUCAGACAAACUCCGAAUGCCAAUUAAUUUAACUUGGGAGUCAGAACAUGGGUGAUAAGGUCCGUGUUCGAAAGGGAAACAGCCCAGACCACCAGCUAAGGUCCCAAAAUAUAUGUUAAGUGGAAAAGGAUGUGGCGUUGCCCAGACAACUAGGAUGUUGGCUUAGAAGCAGCCAUCAUUUAAAGAGUGCGUAAUAGCUCACUAGUCGAGUGACACUGCGCCGAAAAUGUACCGGGGCUAAACAUAUUACCGAAGCUGUGGAUUGUCCUUUGGACAAUGGUAGGAGAGCGUUCUAAGGGCGUCGAAGCAUGAUCGCAAGGACAUGUGGAGCGCUUAGAAGUGAGAAUGCCGGUAUGAGUAGCGAAAGACAGGUGAGAAUCCUGUCCACCGAAUGACUAAGGUUUCCUGGGGAAGGCUCGUCCUCCCAGGGUUAGUCGGGACCUAAGCUGAGGCCGAACGGCGUAGGCGAUGGUCAACAGGUUGAUAUUCCUGUACCAGUUUCUUUUGUUUGACCGAUGGAGGGACGCAGCAGGCUAAGAUAUGCCCACUGAUGGAUGUGGGUGCAAAUAAUAAGUCUGGCGAUGAGUCAAAUGCUUAUCGCUAAGGACAAGUUAUGACGCGGAGGGAAGUACAGUACCGAAGUAUCUGACGUCACACUGCCAAGAAAAGCUUCUAGGGAGAAAGCAACUGCCCGUACCGCAAACCGACACAGGUAGUCGAGAUGAGAAUUCUAAGGUGAGCGAGCGAACUCUCGUUAAGGAACUCGGCAAAAUGACCCCGUAACUUAGGGAGAAGGGGUGCUAACGCAAGUUAGCCGCAGUGAAUAGGCCCAGGCGACUGUUUACCAAAAACACAGGUCUCUGCUAAUUCGAAAGAAGAUGUAUAGGGGCUGACACCUGCCCGGUGCUGGAAGGUGNANGUCGCUAGAUNGUNUUAGCCCAAGCGAAGGCUAGAACUUAAGCCCCAGUAAACGGCGGCCGUAACUAUAACGGUCCUAAGGUAGCGAAAUUCCUUGUCGGGUAAGUUCCGACCCGCACGAAAGGUGUAACGAUUUGGGCACUGUCUCAACAAAGGAUCCGGUGAAAUUGUAGUAGUCGUGAAGAUGCGACUUACCCACGCUAGGACGGAAAGAGGAUGGGGUGGAGGUCGCUAGAUGGUCAGGAGGGUGUGGAGGUCGCUAGAUGGUCAGGGUGUGGAGGUCGCUAGAUGGU